rnacentral:rRNA from 2 species
UUAAUUGAAGAGUUUGAUCAUGGCUCAGAUUGAACGCUGGCGGCAGGCCUAACACAUGCAAGUCGGGCGGUAACAGGGAGAAGCUUGCUUCUCUGCUGACGAGCGGCGGACGGGUGAGUAAUGUAUGGGGAUCUGCCUGAUGGAGGGGGAUAACUACUGGAAACGGUAGCUAAUACCGCAUGAUGUCUUCGGACCAAAGCGGGGGACCUUCGGGCCUCGCGCCAUCAGAUGAACCCAUAUGGGAUUAGCUAGUAGGUGAGGUAAUGGCUCACCUAGGCGACGAUCUCUAGCUGGUCUGAGAGGAUGAUCAGCCACACUGGGACUGAGACAC